rnacentral:lncRNA from 1 species
UCAGGUAUGUUCGGGUUGGCAGCCGAUUGAAUCGACACGGCGAUUCCCUCGUCGGAGAGACACGCGAUCAAAGGUCUUGUGUAAGUAAAGACGCAAUCUAAGGUAAAAGAAAAAUGAAAAGAAAACGUGUAAAAUAGGAAAUACUACGUCGAAGCAAGGAAAUAAAGAAAUUGAAUAAUAUUACGAAGGUCACGCUGUUGCGACCUCCGUUUAAUCGCCAGUAACGUUAUAUUAUAAAUUCUUGAAAACAUUUAAAAAAGAGUCGCUAUACGUGAUUAAUCGGAUAGAUCUAUAAGAUCUAAUUAAUCUAAGUAAUACAUUGCGAGAGAAACAUACGAUAAGUGUCUUUUUAUUUGAAGCAGGAAAAAAGUACAUAAAGAUUUGAUCGUACUCACCAAAAGAAGUUAAAUCCUGGAAUAGUACUACUUGGUCCCAAUCUUUCCAUUUAGCAAAUUCCAAGAUCAAUUGCAAUAUCAACGGCGAGGGGAAAUAGAGCUAUGGAUAAGUUUUGAAGAAUCUUCUUUAUUUCUAUCGAGCUAUGGAUCUCGUACGAGACUCUUUAAUUGUGAAUAAUUAUAAGAAUCGAUGAUGCUGUUUCCAUUGACGUUGAUUAUUCUACUGAAGAAACUCGUGGAAAUAGUUGGACAGCAUUUCCAUCUUGAAAUAUGUAGAUACGUAAUUACGACUAUUUGUCUAAUAAGAAAAUUUAAUUUAACGAACGAAUCUUUUUAUUAGGGAUAUAUACUCGUUUGAUAGAAAAAUCUUUAAAACAUUUCACAUAAGGUACCUUUCAGAAGAGUUAAAAUCACGAGAAACGACCUCGGUCGUUGCAAUCAAACGUUGCAAUCACGUUGUCAGCAGAAAGAUGUUACGUAAGACGAAAAAGCGGCUACUUGCAUUAAGUCCAUCGAUAUCUGUACGAAACACGAAACGCUCCAGACAGCGAUCGAAUGUAGACUGAGAAUCAUCUUAACGUAGUCCUUUCGUCCUUACUUUCAACGCAUGCGGUAAAAGUUACCUUCCAUACAGAGAUCGAGAAAAUGUUCUGUUUUUUACAUCAUUUCUAGCGUAUUAAUUAAAUGGAUGGUGUCCCGUAUCGUUGUUAGACAUCGCCCCCCGGGGAAAUGAAAGACGAUCGAAGAUUACAAUCGAAGUAAAAAAUUAUGUUGGAAAUUAAUGCUCUACUUUCUUCGAUAUAGCACGAAUUUUAAAGAAUUCUAGACAAUAUUGAAGUAUUGCUCGAAGGAAGGAUGCCCUCAGACAACCACUUUUGAAUACGAGGCACUAUGUUUGGAGGAAGAAUUUUCCAUAAUUUAACGAACCAUGCACUUUUCUCUAAGAGCCACAUCGAAUAUAAAGUCGUAAAUGGCUUCCAUUUCGAUUUUCACCUCUGUAAUCGUCUUCAACCGUAUCAGAAUUGAACUUUCCUUGACCUGUGAAAAGAUCUUCGUUUUUUUCCUUGUAUCGUUCUAAAAAGGGAACGGUCUGUUAAAAUAUUAUUUUUAUCCAUCUUGUCAAGUUAUAUAACUUCAUUUCGAUAAGGUUUGUGUUAGAUUUUCCGAUUAAAUUUGAGGGAUUCUAAACAAAGUUUGUUGAAAACGAAAGUAUGUAUAGUUGUUUAUAAAGAUUACAAAAUGAUUCCCUGAGAAAGAAGAUGGCAAUAAAGGAAUCGGGUUACCGUGUUUGAAAAAAUGAGCACGGCAGGUGUAUUAUUGACGUUUGUACUCAAAACCCGUGAACGAAGACAAUGAUGCGUCGAUAAUAGUAUUUACCCCGCGACGACAGCAAAUCGAUAGAAUUGAUGCUAUCGAUUCGACCGAUGAAAAGAAUCGGUGCGUCCCAUGAACGCUUAUUUAUAAAGCUUGUUCGUGAACUGCAUCGAUAAGAAACAUUGAAAGUUCAUUUGUGAAAUUUUAAAAAACUUUCCUAAACAAGCUAGUUCAUAAUAUUCCUCCGAUCGAUAUUCUAUUAAACGUAGUUAUUAAAUCGCAGAUAUUUAUACCUUUAAGGGGAAAUGUAGAAAAAUAUUUUAAAAAUAA